rnacentral:tRNA from 1 species
CCGCCACUAGCUCAGCAGGAUAGAGCAGCAGCCUUCUAAGCUGUUGGUGCAGGUUCGAUUCCCGCUGACGCUCCA